rnacentral:rRNA from 1 species
UACGUAGGGUGCAAGCGUUGUCCGGAAUUAUUGGGCGUAAAGGGCUCGUAGGCGGUUUGUCGCGUCUGCUGUGAAAAUCCAGGGCUUAACCCUGGACCUGCAGUGGGUACGGGCAGACUAGAGUGCGGUAGGGGAGAUCGGAAUUCCUGGUGUAGCGGUGAAAUGCGCAGAUAUCAGGAGGAACACCGGUGGCGAAGGCGGAUCUCUGGGCCGUAACUGACGCUGAGGAGCGAAAGCAUGGGGAGCGAACAGG